AAGUCGUAACAAGGUUUCCGUAGGUGAACCUGCGGAAGGAUCAUUAUCGAGUUUUGAAGUGGGUCUUUGAGCUGGCUUUUCACGAAGCACCGUGCUCGGGCCCCGCUCCAUCCACUCAACCCCUGUGCACUUUCGAUGGCGUGGUUCUCGUUUGGUGGUGUUCCAUUCAUUUGGACAUCGGAGGCCGCGACGUCGUCUUAUCACAAACUUAUUAUCAUAGUCUUGUCGAACGUGGAUGCUCGUAAGAGCGGAAACACAAUACAACUUUCAACAACGGAUCUCUUGGCUCUC
rnacentral:misc_RNA from 1 species